GUAGGUGGCAAGCGUUGUCCGGAAUUAUUGGGCGUAAAGCGCGCGCAGGCGGUUCUUUAAGUCUGAUGUGAAAGCCCACGGCUCAACCGUGGAGGGUCAUUGGAAACUGGAGAACUUGAGUACAGAAGAGGAAAGCGGAAUUCCACGUGUAGCGGUGAAAUGCGUAGAGAUGUGGAGGAACACCAGUGGCGAAGGCGGCUUUCUGGUCUGUAACUGACGCUGAGGCGCGAAAGCGUGGGGAGCAGACAGGAUUAGAUACCCUGGUAGUCCACGCCGUAAACGAUGAGUGCUAAGUGUUAGGGGGGUUUUCCGCCCCCCUUAGUGCUGCAGCUAACGCAUUAAGCACUCCGCCUGGGAGUACGGCCGCAAGGCUG
rnacentral:rRNA from 1 species